rnacentral:rRNA from 1 species
AGUGAACGCUGGCGGUAGGCCUAACACAUGCAAGUCGAACGGCAGCACAGUAAGAGCUUGCUCUUACGGUUGGCGAGUGGCGGACGGGUGAGGAAUACAUCGGAAUCUACUUUUUCGUGGGGGAUAACGUAGGGAAACUUACGCUAAUACCGCAUACGACCUACGGGUGAAAGCAGUGGAUCUUCGGACCUUUCGCGAUUGAAUGAGCCGAUGUCGGAUUAGCUAGUUGGCGGGGUAAAGGCCCACCAAGGCGACGAUCCGUAGCUGGUCUGAGAGGAUGAUCAGCCACACUGGAACUGAGACACGGUCCAGACUCCUACGGGAGGCAGCAGUGGGGAAUAUUGGACAAUGGGCGAAAGCCUGAUCCAGCCAUACCGCGUGGGUGAAGAAGGCCUUCGGGUUGUAAAGCCCUUUUGUUGGGAAAGAAAAGCAGCAGGUUAAUACCCCGCUGUUCUGACGGUACCCAAAGAAUAAGCACCGGCUAACUUCGUG